CAGUCGCCACGGUAACACGUAGGUGGCAAGCGUUGUCCGGAAUUAUUGGGCGUAAAGGGCUCGUAGGCGGUUUCUUAAGUCUGAUGUGAAAGCCCCCGGCUCAACCGGGGAGGGUCAUUGGAAACUGGGAAACUUGAGUGCAGAAGAGGAGAGUGGAAUUCCACGUGUAGCGGUGAAAUGCGUAGAGAUGUGGAGGAACACCAGUGGCGAAGGCGACUCUCUGGUCUGUAACUGACGCUGAGGAGCGAAAGCGUGGGGAGCGAACAGGAUUAGAUACCCCGGUAGUCCCUGUCUCUUAUAA
rnacentral:rRNA from 1 species